AAGAGAGCCCUUUCGUGAGCAGGGACAGAGAUGGCUAAACUUCAGCCCCAAGUAAUAAAGUAAGGCAGAAGUUUUUAAAAUAGCUAUGUUCCAUCCGUUAACUAUCCAUCAUAAGGAAAGAUCUGCAGAAUCCUAACAGCAGCUUAUCAUGGCUCUGUGGUUUCUGAUAGGAAAACAAAUACAUCACGUAAAGGGAAUAAAGUGCUUUUCUCUGGUUAUCAUUCCACUCCAGGCUUUUGUGUCGCAGAUUGUCUGGCAGACUCUCACAAUUGUUUCCUCCUGCAGCUUCUGGAAAAGAUCUCUUCUCUUCACUAAAGAAAAAUAUGCCCACAACAGAGAUGGGUUUUAUUUGUGAUAUUCUUUUGUAUUUUUCCAUUUCACCAUUAACUGAUUUUUAGCUCUCAGUCGUUUUCAUGUGCAUGAACAUAAUUUCUGCCAAGAUUUGUACAGUGCUCCAGGUAAUUGUUGAUAUGCUUGAAAUAUGUGUCCUGUUAAUGUAUACAUAUUGUUGAUAACUUUGAUAAACACACCAGACCUGAGUCAUCCCACGGACUGUACUGAGCACAUGACAGUGCACUUCAAUAGUGCGAAUCUGGCUGCACAUGAGGAGCUGAAGGAGCGCAUACAGCAGGUCCCACAGAGCUGGCUCUGAUGCAAAGCCAGCGUGACUGCAAAACACAUUUCCUUGAGAGCUCGGGAAGAGCACACUGAGCCAGAUGCCUGAUGAGGUGGUUAGUCUCUGCCUGGCAUCCUUUAUUUGAUGAAAGCUAUCACACAUGGAAGGUAGCAUUGCUAGCUGUUUACCUCGCAGCACCUCAAAUACCUCAGAAUGAAUGGGCUCAGAAAUGAGCAUUCCCUGCCUCUCCAUCGCUUCCAGCCUCACCACAGAACAUGUUUAUUUUUUCAGUUACUUUCUUCGGUGAUUUCAGUUGCUUCUGGUGUAUGCAGCAGUAUGUCUGUGCUUGUGAUUCAUUACAUUGCUUAUGGGCGUUUAGAGCCUGGAAGUCUUCUGUAAAACAUGAUUUAUUAAUACAUCCUCCAUGUGAGGUGGGGAGGAAGAGAGGGCUCUAGCACUUUGCUACCCUGCACUAAUCAAGUCUGAAGAUUUAACCACUCCAAGAACUGAGGAAUCCAAUGUUGCCAUAGAAAAAUCAAACAUGGCAGGAUCAAUCAACAAUAUUGAGCGUUUUAGUUCUGAUACACAAAUCUCUUGACUCUGUCGGUGGGUGAGAUAACUUGUCACUUUGUUUGCAGAGCAGCCUAUAUGAUGAGAACAAGAUGAGCUUCUGCUAGCAGUGGAAGGGUGGGGAAUCUGGUGAUCUCUGGCUUCAUCUGGAUCUGAAACCUGAGUGUUGUAUGGUGCAAGCCCAGGGCUGUGCUCUUCCUUUUUGCCCUCUCCCCCCCUCAAGUGCAGACCCUGUCCAUCUCAUCCCAAUACUCUUCUCUCCUUCUCUGCUUUGAUACACCAGUUUCUCUCAGAAUGGUUAGAAUCAGCCUCUUUUUCUAGCUGGGAGGAGUCUUUCUGAAACCAAAACAGAGAUCUGAACCUUGCUUUAGUCAAGCACCGCUAGUUGCUGCAGCUUUCGGCAUCCAGGUAUUCUUUUCCAUAGCCACACAGAUCCAGCCACUUGAUCAGCUGCAGCACCUCACAAGGACUGGGAAAACAAUGGCAAGAAUAUUCCUGUUUAGUUAAUUGAAAUGUUUCAGUAAUGUGGAAAAAGCAGUGCAUUCCCCUCCUCCAUUGGCUCUGCUCUCUGACACAGUAUUUUUUUUCCUGCAGUGCUUCCAAUAAAACUCAACCUGAGGCAGAGAACCUGCACUGAAAAUUUUAGUCCAAGUAGUUAGGCAGAGAUACAAACAACCAAAAUAGGAUCUUUCAACGGAAAAUGUUAGGUGACUGACAGUAGGUGGUAUUACCAGCUGUCUACAGCCACGUACAUCCACCCUCCCUGUGUAUUCUGUGCUCACUGGGGCAAGCUCGGAGGAAAGGAAGAUAAACAAGGGGGUUUGAGUCUUUCUUCGUAAGUUGCCUACAGCUGUUCAGAUGUUUUCCAUUUUAUCAGCAUCCGUGGCAGGCUGUAGCAUAAUGAAUGCAUAAGUAUUAUUAAACCAUUAGCCAGGUGACAUUUUUGGAUUUUAUAUUCCCCUCUAGUAAAUGUGUAACACUCAUAUGCUAGUAAGUGAUUAAGUAUUCUGCUGAGUCUCAGACCAUAAGUAAUUAUAUGCCAUUUUAAAGACAGCCAAAGGAGCAAUGUAAAAUGCUUAACUGAAAAAGGGAGAAAGUAGAGAAUGACAGGCAACUCUCAAGAAAACAAGAAAAACUCAUACUCACGAUGUCACAGUUUAACCCCAGCCAUCUUAUAGUUAGAAGAUACUGAUGUUGCAUAAUGCACUUGAAAUUACAGCUGCAUCAAUACCUGAUAGGAAAAAAUAAUUGUCAUUUUAGCUCUAAUAAAAAAGAAAAUGCUGAUGCUUUUAUGGAUUUUUUUUUUUCAUGUCUUAUACAAGCCUUUCAGAGGUUAUUCACAUAAAUAACUCCAUGUCAUGGCCAAGCCUUAAGUAAAAGCGGCCUUCUCUACAGACCAAGUGGCAAAUAGCCUCUUCCACCUUCCAAACAAAUACAUCCUACCAGCUCAGCCUUUCUCCCUUGUUAGAGGGGAGCUUUAUUCCAGAACACGCUUUUCCCUUCCCUAAAGUACUCACAGUUAGGAAAAUUAUACUUGUCUGCUGACUUGAGACUGAAGCAGAACUGCCGUCUUGCCCCUCACUAGCCAUUUGAGUCCUUGUCUCGUUAGGCUAAGUAGACUAAGCAUACUACUACUAGUAGUAAUAGUAGGAUGACUAAGUAGUGCAUUGCUCCAAGAGUGAGUGCUUUUUACCCUUCGCUGUUUGACAGUGGUGGAGAGAGAUGGAAGCCAUCUCUCAUUACAAAAUCCUCACGGAAUUAAAAACAAUAUCAAUAACAACAACAACAAUAAGAAAUAUAGCUGGGCUUAUUUUCUGUCACCUCCUCUGCAGAGUCAUCUCUGUUCAUCGGUGGGUUGCAUGUUCAUAAGAGCAUCCUGCGAAAUGAUUGGGACUAUCUAGAGGUGAUCUGGGAGUGCAGCAUCCUUUUCUAGUGAAAUAAGGCUGGCUGUCUCAAAACCAGCUCUCAAAGAGGCCAGGUGGUACCAGAAGCCUCAGGAACUUACCAGUUUCAUGCAACAGCUGGACUGAUGCCGGAGUCCUAAAGGGAGAAUAAGAACAAGGCUUCCCUGCCUGGUGGAGGCUGUGGGACGUGGUGCUUUGCAGCUGUAUCUCCUCACCUUUUCUGGGAUGCCUGGCCUCUGAUGGCUUUACUCUGCAUGCCCGUACAGAGGGGGUGAAAGGUCCCAAACCACUUUCAGCUAACACAGAACAGGCUUAGUUGAAAGAGUCAGAUAAACUUCAGGGAGGAAAUUUUUUAACCUUGACGUUAGAAGGUGCUGUGUAAUUGAUCUGUACAAUAGGAUGAGUCCUGAGAACAUUUCAAUAUGGAGACAAUAUUUAGCUGGAAAUCUGAUGUUAUUGUUUUACCACUGCUUGUUGGAGGAAGAUUGGCAUUUGCCUUGCUGUUCUCGCUGCAUGUGUCCAUUCCCACCUAUGAACUGCUUAAAGUAAUUGUUCAAGCCACAGCAACCCAGACUCCUGGAAACUAACUCUUGAUGGAUGAUGUGAUUUGAAUGAUUGAUUCCUGUAUCUCCUUCUAGAAUACAGGCACCUUAGCUGUUCCUCCUUCAGGUGUUUUACAACCAACAUUGACAAUAAAAAGAAAGAAAACAAAGGCCUUGAAAACUAUUCACAUUUUUCCUAUUGCUAUGUUUGUUUGUUUUUCACGCACCGGAACUUGCUAUUAUGCUUUAUUGUGAAACUCUAGUAAAGCUUAUUUCAUAAAGAAGAGCUUUAAGUAACUU